AGUGAACGCUGGCGGUAUGCCUAACACAUGCAAGUCGAGCGACAGCACAGUAAGAGCUUUCUCUUACUGUUGGCGAGUGGCGGACGGGUGACGAAUACAUCGCAUUCUUCUUUUUCUGGGAGGAUUACGGGGAAACACUUACACUAAUACCUCAUAUUAUCUACGGCUUAAAUCAGAGGUUCUUCGCACUUUUCCCGAUUCAUUUAGCCGGUUCCGCAUUAGCUAGUUGGCGGGGUAAAGUCCCACCAAGGCAACGAUCCGUAGCUGGUCUGAGAGGAUGAUCAGCCACACUGGAACUGAGACACGGUCCAGACUCCUACGGGAGGCAGCAGUGGGGAAUAUUGGACAAUGGGCGCAAGCCUGAUCCAGCCACACCGCGUGAGUGAAGAAGGCCUUCGGGUUGUAAAGCCCUUUUGUUAGGAAAGAAAAGCAGUAGGUUAAUCUGCGGCUGUUCUGACGGUACCCAAAGAAUAAGCAACGGCUAACUUCGUG
rnacentral:rRNA from 1 species